CCUCUUUGGGGAGUAGCCUGCUUCCGGGGUCGCCCGGCAGCGUUCGUAUCAACAUUCUCGGCAGCAGCCGUGGUACGAACACCUUUCGGUUGGUGAGACCAAUGACAGAUACGUGCCUAAGGUCGGGCGCGUGUAUCCGUCAUUGACUCAUAGCCCGACCGAGACGU
rnacentral:sRNA from 2 species